CCUAUACAACCUACAUUCUGAACACCGUGUGCUUUCAGCCUCAACCUCACUUCAGACACAUCCACCGGCAGCAGUUGCACAUUUGGGUCCAUCAGGUGUCUUCUGUAGGUCCAUCCUAGCAGUGUACUCACCAAAACCUGCAAGUAUGAUCAUCAGGCUGGGACGCUUGACCCCUGGAUACUUCCGUCUCCUGCAGAGGCAGGUAGCCGGUGAGGUUCAGACGCAGCCACAGGACCGCGCCCUCAACCAGAUUGCCAUGAUGUUGGCCAUCAUGGGCCUCAGCCUGUCCUACUACAGCGCCAAGCAGAUGACCGAGAAAGUCCAGCGUGUCCCUGGGCCCUGAAGUGACCCUGAACUCUGUAUGCCGGAGCUGAAGAAACCAAAAAGCUGAAUCGGAGAUUGAGAUGGAGAGUUAAGGAGAGACAGAGAUUAAUGAAGUUGUAUGGCACUGUUUUACACUAACAUCGUCACCAUAAGCCUAAGACACUGGAGUUCACUCACCAUAAGAAGAGAGUUCAGGGCUGCUGCUGGGUGUUCCUCUGACUGCAGCUUAGCAUAGAAUGGGUGGGCGCAAGUUGGCACUGGGGCCAGAAAUCAAAGCCAGAAGGAAGCUGAAUAUGACCCGUGUCGAUGGUUGCUGUGGUACGUGCACCACAGAGCCCCUUCAGUAAAUUCAGGUGCUAGCAGACAAUAUAAUACUGUUUUAAAGGGAAUGACCCAGUAGCUGGCUACCUUGGCUAAGAAUCAGUGCCCUUUAAAGGGAAGCACCCGCUGUAUUUGUAUGUAUCAAACAACUAUUGAACACAGGCCGGGUAAAAACGAGUAGUAGCUGGGUACUAUGUCUGAGAAUAAAUGCCUUUGAAAGGGUGCAAUAUGUGAGCAACCAUUGACAGCAGGCUGGAUUAAAACAGGUGAUUUUUUUUUUUAGGCUGUAUAGCUGCAGGCAAGAUGCCACAGCAUCCUGAGAACUCUCACUGGAAAAGAAGUAAACAUGGUCUACACAACUGAAUGAAAUUCAAUUUCUUUUAGACACUGUGAACAUUUUUACUGUACUGUCAAUGCAAGCCUGUAAAUUCAUUUCUUGGAACAAAUCUAGACCUGGUUAAAAGGGACUUUUUCCUCCUUUCCAACUUUGUUUUGUAUUCCUCACUUUUUGUUCUUGUUUAUAUGUAUCUGCAAUGCCUAUUAGGUGUUUAAUGUGACAUUUCUAAUGCAUGAGUGUAAAAUAUUAAGUGAAACUGUGAUAAUGUUACUAAGGACUUCUAUGGUAAUGAAUGUACGUUGCUAUUUUUUUUAAAAAAAAACAAACAAAUAAAGCUGUGAAGAUUUU